CCUUCCCUCCCACAGCGUACAGAAGUCCCAGCUUGGAGCUUGGAGAGUGUGUGUGAGAGCGACCUCGCUGACAGCAACCUCGCAGAAAGUGAUCGAGACUCGGUGGCGGAGCGCACCGACUGCCGCCAGGAUGAGGAGGCUGCAGGAACUCACGACGACGAUGUUGUGGAGGCCGGUGGGAGUGAGAAGACUGAGGCAAAGCCCCGGGCUGGGGGACAUGAGGACGAGGCGGCCCCAGUACCUGAGGUGGAGGUGGAGGAGGAGGCGGGCCAGCCCCGUGAAAAUGGCCAGGAGGAGUCCUUAGCCAUCGCCUGGGCUGAGCCGGAAGACGAGCCUGGCCCCAAGGUGGACGGGGCGGACGAUGAAAUCUCUUGGAGCUUGGAGAGUGUGUGUGAGAGCGACCUCGCUGACAGCAACCUCGCAGAAAGUGAUCGAGACUCGGUGGCGGAGCGCACCGACUGCCGCCAGGAUGAGGAGGCUGCAGGAACUCACGACGACGAUGUUGUGGAGGCCGGUGGGAGUGAGAAGACUGAGGCAAAGCCCCGGGCUGGGGGACAUGAGGACGAGGCGGCCCCAGUACCUGAGGUGGAGGUGGAGGAGGAGGCGGGCCAGCCCCGUGAAAAUGGCCAGGAGGAGUCCUUAGCCAUCGCCUGGGCUGAGCCGGAAGACGAGCCUGGCCCCAAGGUGGACGGGGCGGACGAUGAAAUCUCUUGGAGCUUGGAGAGUGUGUGUGAGAGCGACCUCGCUGACAGCAACCUCGCAGAAAGUGAUCGAGACUCGGUGGCGGAGCGCACCGACUGCCGCCAGGAUGAGGAGGCUGCAGACUGUUGCUUUGGGAGCAAAGGAUCGUGCUUCAAAAGUCUGAGGACAAGUUUGUCCUCUGCGAGCUUGGCUAGAAUAAUUCCCCGGUGGCCACACAACAGGGUGCACCUUGCCACUGAGCCAGAUGAAGGAACUCACGACGACGAUGUUGUGGAGGCCGGUGGGAGUGAGAAGACUGAGGCAAAGCCCCGGGCUGGGGGACAUGAGGACGAGGCGGCCCCAGUACCUGAGGUGGAGGUGGAGGAGGAGGCGGGCCAGCCCCGUGAAAAUGGCCAGGAGGAGUCCUUAGCCAUCGCCUGGGCUGAGCCGGAAGACGAGCCUGGCCCCAAGGUAAGCUCACCUUUCUUGAUGUGAGGUUGGAAAAGGUGCCUCCUUUCUUCUUGGAUGUACCUCCUUCAGAAAUGGAAAUCUGAGAAAGUCCACUGUAGAUGAUAUAUGCAGAUUGCUGUGCGGAGGACUGUUGAGUCCAAGUUUGGUACCAAGCAGUAGCUCCUUCCCCGGGGCAUUUGCAAAAGGGACCGCAUCAGUUCCCAAGUGUGCAGUAGGGAGCAUAUGUCUUUGAAGAAGCCGGAAUGUUGUUUUGUCUUGUCUUUUUUUGCCUUUUCUAGGGCCCCUCCCGCGGCAUAUGGAGAUGAGGUUCCCAGGCUAGGGGUCUGAUCGGAGCUGUAGCCACC
rnacentral:lncRNA from 1 species